CAAUAGCGUAUAUUUAAGUUGCUGCAGUUAAAAAGCUCGUAGUUGGAUUUCGGGUGGGAAUGGCCGGUCCGCCGUUUCGGUGUGCACUUGCUACGCCCACCUUGCUGCCGGGGACGUGCUCUUGAGUUCACGCUCGGGACACGGAGUCGGCGAGGUUACUUUGAGUAAAUUAGAGUGUUCAAAGCAGGCCUACGCUCUGAAUACAUUAGCAUGGAAUAACACGAUAGGACUCUGGCCUAUCUUGUUGGUCUGUAGGACCGGAGUAAUGAUUAAGAGGGACAGUCGGGGGCACUCGUAUUUCAUUGUCAGAGGUGAAGUUCUUGGAUUUAUGAAAGACGAACUACUGCGAAAGCAUUUGCCAAGGAUGUUUUCAUUAA
rnacentral:rRNA from 1 species